UUAAGGAGGAAAAUAGAGGUGAUGGCCAGACAGGCCUUGACAUUCCAAAAGGCAAGUCUAUGCUGGUAAGUUUUCAGGUGCAGCUGGCCGUCUUGCCCCUCUGGAUGUUAAGGAAGUUGAGUAGAAUCAGGUGUGCAUGUGGCUCUGAUCAAGCAGACCCCAGCUCACCACGAGGUACCAGCUUUCCGAUAAAAACGCUUCUCCACAGCAGCUGCUUCUCUGGUCUUGUUCUACUCAGAGUCCUCCGAUUUCUCUCCCACAUCCUGGUGAGGAAUCGUCCUCCUUCACCCGGCACGGCUUUUCUUUCAAGACACUUAUGCAAAUCCAAAAUGACAAGAAUGGGUUUAAAGUGAUUUUCAGCAUCUGAAGAUUAGCACAAGAUGACAGACUCAUAAAGUGCUGGGCCUUUUUUUUUUGAGGCUGAAAACUUCCAGACAUGGCUAGAAGUGGAACAAAUCAUCUGAAUAUGGUCAACUAAUCUAUGAUAUUAAAUAUGGAAAACUUAGUUUGAAAAAUCAGAUUCCAUGGGAUGGUGAACGAGGCUCACACGUUCAAGCAGGAGACCUACACGUAAGGCUGGUAGACCUUAGAGAUGGAAUCAAAUGGAGCACCUCCAAAUACAUGUUUAUUCAUCAAUCCAUUAAUUUAAUAAAAUAUUCGUAAAACUCUAUCACCUAGUUCUUGUGAGUGCUAAUAAUAAGCACUGUGAAAAAAACAAAAUAUAAAAUAGGACCUUUUCCCAUAGUCCCUACUAAAAAAAAAAUGAGC